GGGCAAUUGCUGUGAUAAAGACGCACAAAGAAGUUAGAAAAUUGACUACAAAGAUGAAUUUCAAAAAUUCUCUAGAGCCCCAUAUGGGUUCAAGCAGCUUUCCAACAAAAAGGAGGCCAACUGUGCUGACAACAACCCCAUAUAUUGACCGUUCAACAUAACCAGCAGUUAAGAGAUUCCAGGCAAAAGGAAUUGUCCUGGCUGGAAUAAGAGCAAGAUAGUUAACAACCGCAGGAAAAACCUGAACCAAGAUAUGCCCGCCAAUUAGAACGACGGCUAAACCUUUGCAUAGCUUGGUGAAUCCAGUA
rnacentral:misc_RNA from 1 species